CGGGCGCGCGGGAAGCCUCGGGCCGCCUCGGGUCCUAGCGCCCGCCCGGUCCUUUUCCGGAGGUCCUGCCCCGGGUCCUAGCGCCCGCCGAUCUUUCCCGGAGUUCUUUCCACCUGCUUCUCCAGGCCGCUGGCUCUGCCCCGCUGGCCGCCCACGUGCUCUGCGCUUCCUCCUGUGGCCGAGUUCCGGGCAGCCACGAAAGUGACAUGAGCCAUACUGAUUAAAUAGUAACAUGUGAAGUACGAGGACUGGACAGGCCGAUGCUGACCUGGGUGGACCUGUGCUCGCCCACAGCCUUCGAGGAGACUCAGCCCCGCGCCCACAGCACGGAGCCCGGCCCUUCUACCCCUUCCUGCGAGCCUGAUGCGCCUCCCGGUUUCCGUCUGGCUCGGAUAAGGAAGCAUCUUUCUGCUGGCCGAGUCCCUUCAUCGCCCGAGCACAGUUUCCAGAACUCAGGGGGCUUCUGGAGCAGAGUUCUGGAACUCCAGGCUCGGUAGGAUGGUUAUGGGCGCAACGUUGUUGAAGCCACGCCAUCCGGAGUCUAUAACCAAGCAUAUCUGGUGGCGUGGUCUUUUCCUGUGAGGCUUUGAAGACUUGUGCUUUGUUGAAGAUAAAGCUGGCCUGUGGCUGAUUGCAGAUGCUUUCAGGGAAGUGAAGUAAAACAGAAUGACUAUGUAUAGAUGUCAGAAGAUUUAAAGGGGCCGUAAUUAAUUUAUUACUUAACGAUUUUCAAAAGCAAGAGAUCUGGUGAGAAUUCAUAACGAGGAGACUGCCACUAAGGAGUUUUGGUUGUUUCUGUGAUACAAAAACGAGAUGAGAAAGCCAAUCCAAAAUAAGUUUUAGACAAAAUAGCUACAGACAUAGUGAUCUACCAUAUUUUCAAAGGAGGUAGAAAACACUGCAUGGGACUUAUAGCAGUGGAUGAACAUAAUUCCCACAGAGAAAAAGUCUUGACACAGACAUAUAAUAAUCCUGAGACCUAAUGUGCUGCAAAUAUACAAAUCACAUAGUAAGAAUAAUAUAUCAACAAUAUGAGACAGUUGUGGUAAGUCUGGAGUAAGUUCUACAUAUUUAUACAUUAAUUAGACUCCCUAGGCAAGUGAUGUAAAUCCCAUUUGAAAUUCAGAAGCCCAGAAGACGCUAGAUUCAAGUUAAACAAGUAAAGUUGCGACCAAGUAAACGUUUAAAAAAAUAGCUACAAUCAUGACUGAUGACACUUCACUACUGUUGUCUAAUAUCAGAGAAAACAGCACCAGGACUUUCUAUGUUGGUGGAAACAUGUCAUGGACAGUAGGAGCAACGAUAAGUCUCCAGGAAUUUCCCAUUCGGUGUACAAUUUCUGAAAUAUUUAUAUUAACGUUUCAGCCAUGCAAAUCUGACUUAGGGAAGCCUAGGCCUUCCUCCUCCUCCUCCUCCUCCUCCUCCUCCUCCUCCUUUUCCUCCUCCCCCUCCCCCUCCUUCUGAUAUCCCUUCUGAUUUUCACCUCUUCCUGUGCAACUCAUCACUAAUAGCCUAUCAAAUAGCCCUGGUUCUCUUCACUAUCUGCCUUUUUGCAAGGGGACAGAACGCAUCGUUAGGAUUUUCCAGGCACCUCCGGGGAAGUCUCAACCACAGGUGUAGGUGGAAACAGUACCUUGAAAGUUUUAGUUGACAUUUACGAUUCGACUGGGGGAAGGCAAAGGUUAAAACCGAUCAGAACAUCUGAACACUUAGGAGAGGAAACAAACCAUGAUUGCUGGAGAACUUACGUGGCUAUUGGUUUCAAAGUUACAAUAAAACAGUUAAAACUAAGCACAGAAGGUAACGUGACUGUAAACGACAUGAUUCCUAUGUGAGAAACCGUUGUUUUCUUCAGGAGAGACGACACAAUCAGUGUAAACUAUAAAGCUUAUUCUGCUAAAAAACAGAAUCUUGGCUGUCGGAGAAGGUUACACCGGGGAAACAGAAAGAACCGGUCAUAUUAUGGGUGAGGGCACCGAGCAGUUAACCAAAGGAACAAACACAUCAAAGUGAAGCAAACCUUCCCAGAUUUUGGUAUAUUCCGUGGCUCUUCAAACUCAGCUUUUCCAGCGUAAAGGGCCCGUGAAAUCCCAGGCUUCUGACCUCCCUCCCAGGGGAACCGACUGGAACGCCGAAGAACGAAACAAGACACAGGAGGCUCUCGCGAUCUAAUUGAUCCUCAGCGUGAGAAGUGUCCUGCCCGUUCCAGAAUGUACAUGUUAGGGGCUGUGUGGUGUAUCGUGGUUAUUAGACCGCUGUGAAUCUGGGAUCUGGAAAGAUCGUCCCCCGUUAUGUUACCCACUGGCCUGUUGAUGGAGGAACCUAAUGGCGGAUCCUUACUUUUGUUAAGGGUUUGUCUUCCCCCCCCCCCCCCCCGCCCCAUGGUUUGCCCUUUUGAGGUUAGGCUUAAAGGGCCUUUCUCUGUUACUAAGUUAAAAACUGUUCUCUCUCAACAAAAAAUGUGCCGAUUUUCUUUUU